rnacentral:lncRNA from 13 species
CGAAACGCUUUGCAGCGUAUGAAAAGCUGUACGAUAUUUCGCGAAGCGGUCAACUUCGAACAGCAUCGCGUUAUAUCUGAGAUGAUAAUUGUUCUCAUAAAUUAAACCGUGCGACUCUCUUUACACUUCUUUGCCUCUCGUAGCGAAAGUACUAGCAAACGCCGAGAAGACGGCAGUACGUUCUACGUUCAUGAAUGACAAAAGCCGAUGCAAAGCGGCCGCGAGUCAGGAAGAAACUGGAUGUAGUGUUUUAUUGACGAUCAGGCGUGAAGUAUAGAUGGGUCAAAAGUUCGCGCCCUGUGUGUGUGUGUGUGUGUGUGUGUGUGCGUUAAGGAAUCACAGCACGUUAUUCUCGGCUUUUUCUCUUCGAACAAUUCUCCUUUGAUAAUCCAGUUUAAAUCGUCACUUUAUAUAGACAAUCUGACAAUGACAAGCUGCGGAUCAAGUGGCAAGUGCGCCAAGUGAUAACCCAAAGGAGUCAAAUUCUCGUGUGUAUCGAGGGCAUUGAGUGUCUGAAGUAAUUCAAGGGACAGAUGAAUCGCUUUUGGAUCUGGCGGAUCCAUGACGCAAUUGAAGUCGCAAUGAUAAUCUUACGAACGCCAUGAGGUGGUUCUUUAAAUAUAAGUUUCUGAUCAACUGAUGGCAAACGUGAAUGAAGAGC